rnacentral:rRNA from 1 species
CCUACGGGGAGCAGCAGUGAGGAAUAUUGGUCAAUGGACGGAAGUCUGAACCAGCCAUGCCGCGUGCAGGAAGACGGCUCUAUGAGUUGUAAACUGCUUUUGUACAAGGGUAAACCUGAAUACGUGUAUUCAGCUGAAAGUACUGUACGAAUAAGGAUCGGCUAACUCCGUGCCAGCAGCCGCGGUAAUACGGAGGAUCCAAGCGUUAUCCGGAUUUAUUAGGUUUAAAGGGUGCGUAGGCGGAUUGAUAAGUUAGAGGUGAAAUGUCCGAGCUUAACUCGGGAACUGCCUCUAAUACUGUUGAUCGAGAGAGUAGAUGCGGUAGGCGGAAUGUAUGGUGUAGCGGUGAAAUGCUUAGAGUUCAUACAGAACACCGAUUGCGAAGGCAGCUUACCAAUCUAUAUCUGACGUUGAGGCACGAAAGCGUGGGGAGCAAACAGGAUUAGAUACCCGAGUAGUC